GACGAACGCUGGCGGCGUGCUUAACACAUGCAAGUCGAGCGGUAAGGCCCUUCGGGGUACACGAGCGGCGAACGGGUGAGUAACACGUGGGUGACCUGCCUCUAGCUCUGGGAUAAGCCUGGGAAACUGGGUCUAAUACCGGAUAUGACUCCACGGCGCAUGUUGUGGGGUGGAAAGCCUUGUGUGGCUAGAGAUGGGCCCGCGGCCUAUCAGCUUGUUGGUGGGGUGAUGGCCUACCAAGGCGACGACGGGUAGCCGGCCUGGGAGGGCGACCGGCCACACUGGGACUGAGACACGGCCCAGACUCCUACGGGAGGCAGCAGUGGGGAAUCUUGCGCAAUGGGCGAAAGCCUGACGCAGCGACGCCGCGUGAGGGAUGACGGCC
rnacentral:rRNA from 1 species